rnacentral:rRNA from 1 species
GACGAACGCUGGCGGCGUGCUUAACACAUGCAAGUCGAGCGAUGAAGCUCCUUCGGGAGUGGAUUAGCGGCGGACGGGUGAGUAACACGUGGGCAACCUGCCUCAUAGAGGGGAAUAGCCUUUCGAAAGGAAGAUUAAUACCGCAUAAGAUUGUAGUACCGCAUGGUACAGCAAUUAAAAGAGUAAUCCGCUAUGAGAUGGACCCGCGUCGCAUUAGCUAGUUGGUGAGGUAACGGCUCACCAAGGCGACGAUGCGUAGCCGACCUGAGAGGGUGAUCGGCCACAUUGGGACUGAGACACGGCCCAGACUCCUACGGGAGGCAGCAGUGGGGAAUAUUGCACAAUGGGGGAAACCCUGAUGCAGCAACGCCGCGUGAGUGAUGACGGUCUUCGGAUUGUAAAGCUCUGUCUUUAGGGACGAUAAUGACGGUACCUAAGGAGGAAGCCACGGCUAACUACGUGCCAGCCGCCGCCGUAA